AACCAGCAGUGCUUCUUCUAAAUGUCCUCUGCCUUUCCCAGGUCCUGUGUUGGUUUGCCAAAUUGUUGAGGCCGACCAGCGGCUCACAUGUCCAGGUUUGAGCCUGGAAGGCAUCUUGGAAUCUGGAAGAAAAGAGGGAAUCUAGGCGAUGAGAGAAAGGAUUGAGGGUAUGGACCAGAAAUGAAUGUGUUCUGCUAUCCAAAAGGAUCUAUGCUCAGUAAUCUGGCCCCUUCUCUGUUUUUUUUUUUCCAUUUUGCCAAAUAAUGUCUUUUAGUUUUCCCAGUUUAUAAAUCCUAAUCACUCCCAGA